rnacentral:rRNA from 1 species
GAUGAACGCUAGCGGGAGGCCUAACACAUGCAAGCCGAGCGGUAUUGUUUCUUCGGAAAUGAGAGAGCGGCGUACGGGUGCGUAACACGUGUGCAACCUGCCUUUAUCUGGGGGAUAGCCUUUCGAAAGGAAGAUUAAUACUCCAUAAUAUAUUGAACGGCAUCGUUUAAUAUUGAAAGCUCCGGCGGAUAGAGAUGGGCACGCGCAAGAUUAGUUAGUUGGUGAGGUAACGGCACACCAAGGCGAUGAUCUUUAGGGGGCCUGAGAGGGUGUGCCCCCGCACUGGUACUGAGGCACGGACCAGACUCCUACGGGAGGCAGCAGUGAGGAAUAUUGGACAAUGGGUGCAAGCCUGAUCCAGCCAUCCCGCGUGAAGGACGACUGCCCUAUGGGUUGUAAACUUCUUUUGUAUAGGGAUAAACCUACCCUCGUGAGGGUAGCUGAAGGUACUAUACGAAUAAGCACCGGCUAACUCCGUGCCAGCCGCCGCAGUAACAC